rnacentral:rRNA from 1 species
GUGAGGGAUAUUGGUCAAUGGGGGGAACCCUGAACCAGCCAUGCCGCGUGAGGGAAUGAGGCCCUACGGGUCGAGAACCUCUUUUGACCGGGGACAACGGCGGGGUCGCGAACCCCGCGUGAGGGUACCGGUGGAAUAAGCGCCGGCUAACUCCGUGCCAGCAGCCGCGGUAAUACGGAGGGCGCGAGCGUUAUCCGGAUUCAUUGGGUUUAAAGGGUGCGCAGGCGGCCUGACAAGUCAGCGGUGAAAGCCCGGGGCCCAACCCCGGAAGUGCCGUUGAUACUGCCGGGCUGGAAUGCGGUCGGGGCUGGCGGAACGUGGCGUGUAGCGGUGAAAUGCGUAGAUAUGCCACAGAACGCCGAUAGCGGAGGCAGCCAGCCGGGCCUGCAUUGACGCUCGGGCACGAAAGCGUGGGUAGCGAACAGG